AUGGCUCAGGACUUUACAGUCUCCAUGGUAAAUGACAGGCUUUUGGUUCUGCAACCCCAGAAGAGACCUUGGUUACCUGGAUUGAGGUUUUGGUCAGCUGUUGGCUACAGGAAGGCUUUCAGAAGUCACGAACAGCAAACUCCAGUCUGCACCUGGAAACCAAAGUGGAGAAAGAGUUCCAGAGCCUGCUUGAAUGCUUGUGUUUUGCAGAUUGCUCUUACUUUCCUCGGCCAAAGUAGAGAAGAUUAG
rnacentral:lncRNA from 1 species